rnacentral:rRNA from 1 species
UACGGGGGGGGCAAGCGUUGUUCGGAAUUACUGGGCGUAAAGGGCGCGUAGGCGGCCUUCUAAGUCGGAUGUGAAAGCCCUCGGCUUAACCGAGGAAGUGCAUUCGAAACUGCCGGACUUGAAUAUGGAAGAGGGUCGCGGAAUUCCCGGUGUAGAGGUGAAAUUCGUAGAUAUCGGGAGGAACACCAGUGGCGAAGGCGGCGACCUGGGCCAAUAUUGACGCUGAGGUGCGAAAGCGUGGGGAGCAAACAGG